rnacentral:rRNA from 1 species
UACGUAGGGCGCAAGCGUUAUCCGGAAUUAUUGGGCGUAAAGAGCUCGUAGGCGGCUUGGCAAGUCGGGUGUGAAAACUCCAGGCUCAACCUGGAGAUGCCACUCGAGACUGCUAUGGCUAGAGUCCGGUAGGGGACCACGGAAUUCCUGGUGUAGCGGUGAAAUGCGCAGAUAUCAGGAGGAACACCGGUGGCGAAGGCGGUGGUCUGGGCCGGCACUGACGCUGAGGAGCGAAAGCGUGGGGAGCAAACAGG